GACUCUCAGCAACGGAUAUCUCGGCUCUUGAUCAAUGAAGAACGUAGCGAAAUGCGAUACUUGGUGUGAAUUGUAGGAUCCCACGAACCACCGAGUCUUUGAAUGCAAGUUGCACCCGAAGCCUUCAGGCUGAGGGGACGUCUGCCUGGACGUCA
rnacentral:rRNA from 1 species